rnacentral:lncRNA from 1 species
ACCCCAGAACGCGCCCUUGGCCAGACCAGAGUUCAUCCGAGCAAGAUGUGUACUACAAUAUGUCAGUAUACUACAAUACGGUCACAUACAUAAGUUUCACCUAAAUCCAUAAGAAGUCAUAUUGUAUUCUCAGCAGGACGAUAUUUAAACACCAGCAAAUAUAUUGCAUCGGGUAACUGCUCGCUCAGAAGAACCAUAACACAAUGCUCUACGUACGUAUAAUUCCAGAACAUCACAAGUGAGACCUUCAGUCUGCAACCAUUCCACAUAACUAUGAAUCAACUAAGAGUGUAGUUAUAUCCAGAUGGAGUUUAAAGCUGGAAGGCAGUAUAGGAUGGGCCUUCAAACUGGACAAGCAUUUGUGCAGGGUCAAGAAUGUGCAUGAUGAACCUCUCUGAGGUAGGUACUAAAGCAUUCAGAAUUACGGACUAACAAUGAACUGUGCAGCACAUCGCUUAGAAAAAAAAGAUAAAUCAAUGGAUCAUGUCAAACUGCAAAGAGAUGGUAAAAAAGGAAUAAAUGUGGAUCCUUUUAGGUUUUAUAAACUUACCCAGAGACGAACAGCCACUUGAGCGCAUUAACCAUUUGUGUGUGCUCGAGGCAGUGGAAUAUUGCCUGUUUGACAAACAGCAUGCGUCGGUCAUUAACAAUCCUGAGAAUAAAUUUGCUGCUAAUAUUUCAAUCAUACUAUUUAGGGAAGACAACAGAUUAGACACAGAAUAUAAUGAACAUGGUAGAUUUUAAACAGAGCAUAUAAUGAAAAGACAGAUUUUGAACAUCCUCAGGAUAACUGAAGAACCAUGCCUAACAGUGGGUCACCCAGUUGUAUCCACUCAUAUAUAGAUGUGCACCAAAAAAGAAAUUUUCUUUGUAACUCCAGCUUGCCAAAUAAAAACUGAAAAAUUAUGAUUUACGCACUUUGGUGAUAUUUCCUUUGCUGAGCAUAAUUAAUGGUCAUACUAUACCUCCUGCCAAGUGCAACUAUGAUGAAUUUGCUAGUCACCUCCAGAUAGUAACACCUAAAGGGUGGAAGGACAACAUAUUCAUUACUAAUUAUAGGUAAAGAAAAAGUCAUAACAAAACUAUAAGGGGG